CUCUACAAUAUUAAACCAAUUAGAUGAUUGUUAUAUUCUAGUAUGGUUAGUAUAACUAACAUAUAAAAAAAUAUGAGAUGUUCUGUCGGAUUUGAUUUUCUUGAGUUUGAACUUUGAAGCUUUUUCCGAGUGUUUUGCAUUUCACAACUACAACAUGUGGCAUAUAAUGAUGUAAUACAUUCAUUUCAUUGCUAUGAGUAAUAGUAAAAUUCAGAAGCGUGCACAAUUUUUUUUUAGAAAUUGAUUAAAAUACGUAUGUUUGAUUAAAGACCAAAAACCUAUCUAAAAUGAUGCCUAGUUUAAGCUUUCAAACAAGUGAUAGAAUUCAAAUUACAGAAAAAAUAUAGAUAGAGUUUACCUCAAUAAAGGGAAGAUUCGUAGAAAAUGAUAUUCUUAUAUAUCUAUUAUUUAGAAUAAUAAUACUAUUACUUGUCAAAUAUACAUUCUACCAAAUAUAUUUUAACAUUUGAGUUUAAGGUUUUAAAAUUAUUAUUUGGGUUUUAUUGUUUAGGGUGUGUGUUGGUUUAUAAAUUUCUAGAAAUGUGUUAGAAAUUAUUUUAAACAUUUAUAAAUAAUUUAAGAGAGUUAAGAUAAUAUUUUAUCAUAAAUCUAAGGUAUUUAUGAAAAUGAUUAUCUUUUACGGGUAAAUUUGAAAAAUAAUAUCAAACUUGUAGUAAAACUGAAAUUCUCUGUUUUCCAUUUUUGUUGAUUGAUUUAGUGACUUUAUUCCACAGUAAGUUAUUUUUGUUUAUAAAUAAACAUUUACUUGUUAGAUAAUUUUUUACACAAUUUUCCAUACUAUUUUAUGUGGAUAUCUAAUUUAUUAAAAGAAAUUAUAUUUUCAACAUAUAAGCAUAUGACAAGUUAUAUAUGAAAUAAGUUCUAAGCCUGAAAGUAUAUACAACUAUUCAAAAUAUCAUAUUAAUACCCUUUUUAGGUAAUAUAAGGAAAAAUAUUUUAUAAGUAAUAAAGCCAAAAUUUAUUAAUGUAUAGGUAAAUAAUUAUCACUAUGCAAACAAAGAAACGAAAAAAAUUCUAAUAGGAGCCAGAAAAUGUUUAAUAAACACGCACAAAAAUUGGUGUGAAGCUCACGUGUAUGAAAAAUCUAACAUAUAUACUACAUAUAACAUAAAAUCGAUAGAUGACAAAAAAAUAUAUAAACUAAUACUUGAUGCAUUAAUAAAAUAAUAAAUUUAUAAAUUUCUCUGAUUUCAACUUAGAUUAGUUAAAUAUAACAUAGUAAAAUAAUUAUAUUUUAAAAAUUCUUAAUGGAUUAUAUGAUCCCUUUAAAAUAAUAAACUAAUUAUUAGUAACUAUAUAUAUUAUUUUUAUAUAAAAUAAAAAAUAAUUUUAUUGUUUAUUUUCUAAAAUAAAAUAUUUAUUUAUUUCGAUAUUUUAGUGCUACUUUAUCAAAUUACAUAUAAAACCACAUUUUCAUUAUAUCAUAUGUAUUCAACAUACAUAAUAUAUAUCAAAUAAUCUAAUAAUAACAAUACAUAAAAUUCUAUUCUAUAAAUUUUAACCAAUAUAUAAUAUUUAUUUUUGGUGAAAUUUCAAAUUUAUUGAUCACUCAAAAGACAUUUACAAGUAAAUGAAUGUUAAAGAAUUGCUAAAGCCUACUAGGAAAUAAAAUUGACUCCAAGAAACUGCUAAAUGCCAUUAACGUCAAACCAUCUACUCAUAAGAACACCUAGCUUAUGAUCCCCUACAUAUUUAAGAGAUGAGAUCCUGUUCCUUAUCGCUUUAUCCGUCAGUUUUAUCACAUGCUCCACUGUCUGAGGCCCUUUGUGAUGUCGUCUAGCAUUCCGCUCUCUCCGUAUGUGGUAUAUAGUCGCCUGAAACAGAAGACACACAAGAACUUUGUCCACUCUAGUAAAACGCCUUGUCUGAAGCAUCAUCAGAUUAUCAUUCCAAUCAGGGUUGAUUCCAGUUCUAAUCAAUCUGCUAGCCAGUUUGUCCCACAGCGUGUAUGAGUACGGACAGCCAAAAAAUAGAUGAUCGCGCGUCUCAUCUUUCUCCCCACAUAGAACACACUCCUGAUGAAGACCCUAUGCUCGCAUUCGAUCGCCAGUAGCAAGUCUGUUCAGAACUGCCAACCAGGUUAUGAAUGCAAACCUCGGUACCCCCUGAGCUAACCAAAUGCUGGUGCUCCAUUUAACUUCAUCUCGUUUAUGUCGAAUCUGAUCCCACGUCUUAAUAGCAGAGAAGCUAUCGUGAUAAUCAUCUUCCGAGUGCCGCCAAAGGAUCACAUCCUCACCAAGCUCAAGUGCAGGAACUGGUACGUUCUGUAUCAUCGUAUGUAAGUUGUGAUAGUGUCUACUCCGUUGGCCUCUUACGUUCCACUGGGAGUUUGAGACUGCUUCAGAUACCCGCGCCUUCCGUCUAACGCCAAGAUAGCGUGUACCAACAGCUCCAGUAAUCUUGAUUAUUUUCCCCACAUGCAACCAGUCAUCGAACCAGAAAAAAGCCCUUCUUCCAUUGCCUAUCUCAAACCUAAAGAACUGAUAAGCCAGGGGGCGCAACUGCAGUAGUUUCCGCCAUAUCCAAGAUCCCUUCGAAUCAUCUCUGACAUCCCAAAAGGAGCCUUCUUGCAAGAGGUAAUGCUGUAUCCAAGAAACCCACAAAGAAUCUGAUAGCAUAAACAACCUCCAAAUCAGGUUUGAAGCAAACACUUUAGUAGAAUCCCUUAACCGUCUUAACCCAAGUCCACCUUCCGAUUUAGGGUAGCAGAGAUCCUCCUAUUUAAUAUUUGCCUUAUGCGUCUGGUUGGGUGAGCCUGACCACAGAAAUGCGCUACAAAGACUCUCAAUGUCAUCCAGACAUCCCAUUGGCAGAAUAAAGGCUUGGCUCCAAAAAUUAAUGAUAUCUGCGAUUACUGACUUGAUCAUUGCAAUAAUAAUGUUUACGUCAUUUUAAAUAAAACUAUUUUAAAAACUAAAUUUAGAAAAAUUAUUUUAAUUAAUAAAUUAUCAUAAUCCCAAAGCUAUUAAUUUAUAAAUUUUACUGUAUAUAUUAAUUGUAAUCAUAUAGGUUCAGUAUAUUUAUUUGGUGUUUAAACUGCAAAAGAGUAUAAAUACUAUGUAGUUAUGCAUAAAAUAUAAGCUUGUUAUAUUCUAGUGUGUUUGUUUUUUUUUUCAAAAUAUGGUUAAAUUAACUAACAUAGAAAAAAUUGUGAGAUGUGUACUCAGAUUUGAGUUUCAACCUAUUUUCUACAAGUAUUUUGCAUUCUAUGAAAAAAACACAUGGCAUAUACAAAUGAUAAGUCUAUUUCAUCGUUUGAGAAUAAGAGUAAAAUUUAACAAGUGUGGAUGAUUUUUUCAUUUUUAUUUAACUAUUUAAGUUAUUGUUUUCUAAUUAUAUGUUAUUUAUAUUUUUAAAUGAUAUUUUUAAAUGAUAUCUUAAUUACUAAAUGAUGCUUUUACAUGGCUUCACCAUGCUUAAUAUUUUAUUGUAGAUUUAUUAAAUUCAAUGAAUGAAUUUAUAUUCACAUUAUGUAAACAUAUGGUAUAUUCUAUAUAUUUGAAACUAAUUUCUCAAAACCAAGUAUUAUAUAUUAAUUAAAUUUUAUAUGGUUUAUUUAUUUAUAUUCUAUGUAAUUUAGUUUUGUAAUUUUUUAUUUUAUAACCUUUUUGGGAGACCGUUAAAAUUUAGCUGUGGUUGAUAUAUUACAACAAUAAUGUAACUAAAUAUUAAAAUAUAGUAUUGCUUUUUAUGGUAAUGUAAUAAAGAUUUUAUUAUUUUUAUUUCCUUUAGAAACAAAAUUUAGAAAUUUAUUUGGAAAUUAAUAAUUAAUUUGUAAACAUAAAGAACAAAACUAAAAGUGUCCAAAAUAUUUUGUAAAUGUUUGCUGUCAAAAAAAAAAUGUCCAAAAUAAAUUUACUAAAUGAUGAUGGGAAACGUUUUCAAGACGGACGAAAACUAGUCAAAACUAGUUAGAAAUUCACGUGAAAAGAAACGUUAACGUAUAUAAUGUGAUUGUCAGUUUUUAAAUAUACGUUAGAAUGGCUUAUCUAAUGAUAGUACAUAUACCUAUAUAAUAUAUAUGACAUGUGUCGUGUUUGUAAGACCACUUUCGUAAGCUAUAAUAUGUCAUAAAUAAAUUAUGUGUUACAAUAGUAUAUAAUAUUAUGUUUAGGUUUAUCUGAUGAGGUCAGUUAAAAUAUAACAUUUUUUUAAUAAAUUAACAUAUAAAUAUGUACAUAUGUAUAUUUUCAAUCGUAUGAUUUUAGAAUGACAUGCUUUUAAAUGUGAUUAAUAAUCUUUAUUUGAUGACCAAAAUAAUUCAUCAUUUAUCAUAUAAUAGGUUGAUACAAUUAAUUAUAAAUGACUGAUAUAUAAAUAUAUAUAAAAUAUAAUUUGUCAUGUUUUGAAAAGUUAAAAUUAUGCAUAUCUGGGUAAAAUAACACCUGGUCAUAUGGCAAAUGUUAACCACAUUGGUAGAUAAUUAAUACACAUUAUAAAAAAUCAUAUUGGAUAUAAUAUGUCAUGCAUUUAACAAAAUGUUAGUAAUAUAGAAAGAAGAAAAAUGCACAUGAGAGAAAAUAGAGUACAAUAAACACAAAUGAUAUUUUAAAAUACUGUAAUUCAUAUAAUAUACAAAUGUUAUCAAAUAAAACAAAAGAAAUAAAAAAUUGUUGCUUCAUCAGCUAACAAAUAAACCGUUUCAUGUUGUGGUCUUCAAUGAAAAAAAUGGUGUAGUAUAAUUUGAAAUUAUUAUUAACCCAAAAUAAUAUUUUGAUAUUAUUUUUCCAAACUGAUGAAUUUUUUUAACUUUAUCCAACUUUUUCAUUUAUUAUAAGUUUUAGAUAGAGGAAGUUUUUCUUUUUAGUUAUAACUUAAACAAUGAACUAUUUUAAGUUUGGGAAAUUGGAUUGUAUGGCAUGGAAAAAAACCUAAUUCAAUGGAUAACCAAUUUACCUAACAUUCAUAUACACACCAUUACAUUUAUAUAAUAAUAUUGUAUUAGCCCUCUCUUCAACCGAUGCAACCUGAUGAAAAUAAAUAAUUAAAAUUUUUAAUUAUUAACUUCAAAAAGUAAAUCGUGGCUUACCCUACUUCACAUUUUCCCUUUUUACUUCACUUGCUAGCUUCCUCGCAUUCUAAUGGUCUCCGAUGCUGAUUUGCUCCACAUCGUCGCCUCCACCGGAAUUCCAAAGCUUUGUUGACGUCUUCUUCACUCUUUACAAUCGCGUUCUCUUUUCCUCUUGUGAAAUCAUCCGCCACCGGCCGGCGUUAAAGUUGCAGCGGAAGAUAGUAACAAACCGUUCCUAUUCCAAUUCACCUCCUCUAUUUUGUCAGAUAUCUGGAACUACGGUAAGUUCUUGGGGUUUGCCUUCGAAUCUCUUUAUCUUCUCGUCUUUUCUUGUUAUUUUCUUUUCCAUUUGGUCUCUUCUCGGAAUUAGGGUUAUAUAAUUGAUAACUCUAUAAAAUCGUUCCAGGUGCAUGUCGGAUCUGUUUUUAGCCGACAGUUAGGCAAUUGAUUUAGGGUUGGGGUUUAUCCGGUUGUUCUUCGGCUUUGUUAAAAUUGAAUUGUGAGUUUUAGCAGAGAUACUAUGUAUGGAAUAGUUUGAUGUAUGGCAUAUAAUUUGUAUUACAAUUUGUUUGCGUCUGAACGGAGCAUGAUAUCUUCUAUCUCUAUUCUAUUUACAGUGGAAUAGAAUAAAUUGUUAGUUCAAAUUAUUUUACUUGCGACAUAAUAUUCUAUUUAGAUGUGUUUGAAUGCUUGCAACAUAUGCCAUACCAUUCAUUAUCAUCCAUUUUAAUCUGUAGAAUAUACACUACAAGAAAAUUAUUAUAUUAUGACGAAAUUUUUAGUCGCAAUAUUAAAUAAUUCGUAAUAAUAAAGAUAUUGUGACGUGUUUGAGACGAUUUGAGAACAGUUACAAUACGAUCGUCACAAAUGUUCGUUAGUAACAAAACUGUUACUGUGUUUGCGACACAUUCAUACAGUAACAGUUCGGUCACAAACAGCAACGAUAUAUACAAGUAACAAGUCUGUUAUAAUUACCAACUAAAAAUAAUGUCACAAAACUGUCAUAUUAUGUGACUGUGAUAACGUCUUAAUUCCGUUGCUCAUUGCAACAUAACUUUAGUCUUAAAAUGUCACAAAUGAAGACUGAAAAGCCAUCACAAAUUUGUCUUCGAUUACGACUAAUUGUUAGUCACAAAUUUGUCACAUUUUAUAACUAAAAUAUCAUCAUAAAUCCAUCGUAGUUAACUAUUGCUUUGUUAUAGUUUUUCACUAAUUUAUUAAGUAUUGCAAUUAAUUAUGUUGAUAGAAGCAUAUAUUCGUUUGAAGCUAUUCAUCAUUUGUAUCUAAAUUACACCAAAAUACAAUACAAGGUAACAAUUAAUAAAGACAAUAGCGUUUUAACACUUUUAUGAUUCUUGCACAGAAAGCAAACGAUAUGGAGACUUCCUAUACAAUGAUAUAUCUUUAGUUCAGAUCUGACCAUAAUGUCUAAACGAAGUCUAACAAUGAAACUGUCUUUGUCUUCGUCGAUGAUUUCUUUUAUCUUGGCUCCGAUCUGUUCUAUCUUUUCCCUUGACUCUCCAAUCGGACUUCUCCGUUCCUCUCCUUACUGACCAGGCUGCCGGCAAACACUACCUAAACGAUGAAUGAUGAUAGUACGGGAGAGGAUUCUCCCUCUCUCUGAGGCAGCCGCAGCCUUAGCUUUUUAUGGGGUGCAAAAAAGUCUGUACACAUAUAACAGAGGACCUCUUUUUAGGGUUAUAUAAUAAUAGAUUUUAAGUGGGCUUUAAGGGUUUAGGUAAAAAAAUUCCACGGUAAAUUUAUUAAGUCUCUUGAUUCCUAUGUCACGUGAUAUUUGUAGAGAGUAUUAUAUAUAAAAAUAGUUAAUAUUUCUCUUUUAUUUUUGACAUAAUUUUUUGUCUAAUAGAAAAACAGUUACACCAAAAUACCAAUCAAGAUAAUGAUUGAAAAUAUAUUAUAUGAUAUCUUUUUGUUAUAAAGAAAAAAUAUAUAUACAAUUGACUAAAAUGAUAGUAAGUAAUUCUAUAUAAUAAAAUUUCAAAAUACAACGAACUUGUUACAUCAUUUGACUGCAGUUUGUUACAAAUAAAAAUAUUUCCGGAUUCGAACUACUAACUCGUGUUUAGUCACCAUAUCAUCAUAAACUAAGACUACCAAUUCAUAACAAUUUCAUAACAAAGUUUGACCAAACAUUUGGUCAUAAUAUUGUCACAAUUUGUUACAACUAUCAUUUUUGUCACAGUUUUGUUAUUAAUUGCGACGAAAGUUGGCUACCGUUUAAAUAGUCAUAACAUUGUGACAAAAUAACAACUUAUUUGUUACAUAAAAUUUUGGUUGCAAUAUUGUAUCAACAAUGUCACAAAUCUGUGACGAAUAUUACCAGUAACAAAAUUCAGUCACAAUAUCUUCUUUCUUUUUGUAGUGAUAUAACUCAUUGUUACUUUCUUAUCUUCAUUGUUCAGGUUUGGCAUGUAAGAUUUAGACCUUCCAUGUGAAGUCGGUAGACGUUGUUUAGGUUUGAAAUAAUUUCCACUUUAAAGCUAAUGUGAGUUAUGAUUGCUAUAUAACUGAUAAUCAUAAUAUAAUAUAUGUUGUUUUGUAGCUCUGAUGAUGAGGAGUAACUACAAUAGGCCGAUGAAUAUGUUUCUUCUCAAAUUUGUGGGAUUGUUGAUAAAAUUGUCUCUAUUGAUGGUGAAGGAUUGUGGUAUAAUAGAGUUUCAAAGAUUCAUGUGGUGAGCGAUAAGACUUGUGUAGUGGUGAUCAUUUCCAUCUAUACAAUUGAAACCAAUGUCAUCUAUGCAUAUAUAAUAGAAAUGUAAAACAAUAUAUAUUUUUCAUAAUUUGUUAUGCGAUGUAUUCUGUUACUAUAUUAUCUUAUCAUGUUCUAUUCCGCUUGACGAUUAAUAAAAAGUGCUCUAUUUUGUUUAUAAAUAUUGUUUGUAAUUUUAUUAAGUUCUCACUAUCGGUACAUGUUUGUUAACAUGUAAAAAUCAUACUAUGAUCUAUAUUGUAUGGUUGGGGUCAUCAUUAACUUCUUCAAUGCAAUCAUAGAUAUUUCAUAAUUUCACCAAUAUGUAUUAUGUUAUUUAUUUUGUUCCAUUCUAUUUGGAUUUUGGGUUUAUAGUUUAUAUUUGAGUUUAGGGUUUAGUGAUUAAGGUUUAGGAUUUAGUAUUUUAGGAUUGGGGUAAUGUUUAUUAUUUAGAGGUUGUGAAUGUAGUUAUAAUUUAUAUUUGGAUUUAGGUUUAGUGAUUGGGAUUUAAAGUUUAGUAUUUAGGUGUUGGGAUAAUCUUUAGUAUUUAGGAGUUGUAUAGUGAUUGGGAUUUAGGGUUUACUAUAGAGGUUAUGAUAAUGUUUAGAAUUUAGGUUUGUGAGUGGAAUUAUUAUCCUAUACUAUUUCGGCGACAUGGAAUAGAAUAUUUGGUGUAUAUGUAUGUGGUUAAUAAAUGUGUUACGUGAAUGUGAUUGUAAAUACGCCACAGGAAAAGCGACGUCGCCUAUUUUCUUACUUGCAACUGGAUACCUGUUAAACAAAAGGACAUAACCGGAUGAUUUGAGGUAUAAAUGUCUGACACUAAAUUAUGUCAAAAUCAUUGCCAUACACCUAAUUUAUUUUUCAAAUAUGGCUAUUACACAAAUAACCCCUUUAAGUUUUUAGUGUGUUGACAUAAGAAUUAAUAUUUCACGUUUUCUUUUUCUUUUCUAUGCUCCUUUUUCACACUUAGCCAAUCUUCUCAUUUUAUACAAUAAUCUUCUUGUUCUUAUGACAUCUUUAAUUAUUUGAUCACAAAGCUUUUAACCAUAUUCUCACACACUAAUAGUUUUUGUCUAUUGUCUACUUGAUAAACCUUAGCUUUUUUCUCUCGAUUUACUGUUGGUAAACAAUUUUUUCUUCUUUUAUAAUUUUGUUGUCUACUCUGAUUUUUCAAUCAAAGAUACUACUUCAAGAAUAUUCUGGUUAACUAAUCAAUUCUUCACAAUGUAUCAUUAUUUCAUCAUGGGAUAAUUGGAAUAUGAUUAUCUAAUAUAUGGGUCAUGACUGAGCUUUGUGAUUUUAGUAUAAUGAUCAAUUUUGAUAGGCGGUUGAAUGAUACCAAUAUUCACUUUAUCUUUAUGAUUUUGUUUUUUUAACUUUUUUUUUCAUCAACAAUACAGACUCAUACUGGCUCUGUAAACCAAACCGGUUUACAUUUUUGACUCAGAUCACCUUUUUGACUCUGUAAUUGGAAUAUGAUUAUCUUCAGUUUGCAUGGAUACUAUGGUAUAUAUGGAAAGGAAGAAAUAAUAAAGUCUUUAGUAAUUUGGAUGUGGAUCCGUUGGAUACCCUUAAACUGGCAGAAACGGAAUCAAAACUCUAGGCUGAGGCACAAAUACUGACUGAUCAUAAGAGGAGUCCACAGGUAGAGGCUAUGAUUCUUCCGUCAAUUUCAGGAAGAUGGUGUUUUACGGAUGGAUCCUGGAAAGAGAAUGAGGUUUUUUCAGGUCAAGGAUGGUACAGUACUCUAGAAGGAUUUGCGGGUUUGAUGGGUGCAAGAAAUGUUCGGGCUUCCCUUACUCCUCUUCAUGCGGAGUUGGAAGCUUUAUUAUGGGCAAUGGAAUGUAUGAAAAACUUACGACAAUUUCAGGUUACGUUUGCAACGGAUUGUUCUCAAUUGGUGAAGAUGGUUUCAGAACCAGAAGAAUGGCCAGCAUUUGCAAGUUAUUUGGAAGAUAUAAACAGCCUGAAAGAGAAUUUUUUCCGAGCAGAGAUUAUCUAU